CCCCUCGCCCGCCUCUUCCUGCAGCCGCGCCGGCUACCGCACCGCCGGGCACCGCCGCGCGGACCCCUCGCCCGCCUCUUCCUGCCCCUCGCCCGCCUCUUCCUGCAGCCGUGCCGGCCACCGCACCGCCGAGCGCCGCCGCGCGGACCCCUCGCCCGCCUCUUCCUACAGCCGCGUCGGCCACCGCACCGCCGGGCGCCGCCGCGCAGACCCCUCGCCCGCCUCUUCCUGCCCCUCGCCCGCCUCUUCCUGCAGCCGCGCUGGCCACCGCGCCGCCUGGACCGCUGCGCCGUCCAUGCUCCAGCCGUGCCUCCCGCGCCGCCGCGUCGGCGAAGGGCGACACGGCGACAGUUCAGUUGAUGGUCCUCUCGCCAAAACAGGACGCAGGAUCGACAACAACAACAGCGCGGGUAGGACCUCACAGUCUUAGGCAUGGAUUCUGCAUGCAAAAUUUAAAACUUUUCUCCGCAGCAGAGGAGGAUACAUCCUCAAGCCCUAUAUAUUUGUGCACCUUAAGCACCUGCAAGCCAAUACGAUGGGCCACUUAGAUCCCCUCCUCCCGCACAAUGACCAUCAUCGCAGAAGCAUAGGUGGUAGACGAUGAGCUUUUUGGAGGAAGCGGAGAUGGAGAUUUCUAUUCACCAAAAGAUGGAGACGGAGAUUUAUAUUCACCAAAAAGAUGGAGCCGCCAUUGACAAGCACUGACGAGCAGCUCAGUCUCAGCUGGGAUGGGGCGGGCUUCCAAUAGAGGUCAAAAACAGGGAAUGGCUUUUUGAGCUGAUGGAGGGAUCACUGGACGUGGUGUUCAUGUUUGUGUUGGCUUACAUGCAUAAAUAAGGAGUAUAGUAAGACUUUUCCAAUAGUUCUCUUGGAGGUCAUGUCUAUGCCAUUCAAGGAUUUUCAUAUCUGAAUGUUAUGACAAUAUAUAGAUAGGGGAGAUAGCCCUCCGCGUCCUGGUGGCCACUGUGUGCUGCAGCGAAGAGCACACUUCAAUUAGUGAUCAGGCAGAUGCGGCGAUCCCAGAUGUGCUUUGACAUUGUGAUUUGUAGUUGUCAAGGACAUCAUUACCCAGGCCGUUCCUAUGCUUCGGUGAGUGGUACUUCUCUCCCACCACACAGAUUACACUAAUUUAUUUGAUUAUAGUUGAGUGGUCUGAUCUAAUUAAUCUAUACACUUAGACACACAACCAAGAAAUGAAAAACCUGCUCCAGAGAUCUUCAAAAUAGUAGUACAAUAUUAGGUAUUGUAGAGUACAAUUUGUUUAAGCUAAGUUUUUCUUUUGCAUGGAAGCUAAUUUUAUAUUUGAGGUGUAAUAGAUACACAUCCCUUGGAUACACUCCGGUGCUGAUGGUAAUACUUUCAGUCACUCACAAACAAUAAGCUUCAGCAUACAAGGCAGAGUUCAAUGCUAUUGGACUCGGGUGCUGGUAUACAAUUUCUUGUACAUUUUACUUCAGCAUACAAGGGAGAGUUCAAUGCUACUAAGUGUGUUCUUAGUGUAUUGACAAAGCCAAUUAUGGGGCCACUGUUGGAGGUUCUUGAAUGUACCCUGCCACUAUGGAACGUGUGUGCAGAAACAGUUGCAUAUCUCAGUUCAGCUGCAAUGGUAGCGAUGGAGACAUCAUGCAGUGUGGUAAUCAUUUGGCCAUUUUUGUUCAUCUUCAGUACAAUAUUUAAUAUUGCCAAUUCAGUCUUGUACCCUGUAAUUUGGUUCGUCGGAGAGAUACUAGCUGCACCUUUCCGACUUGUCACUGCACUAGCAAGUUUUGUAGCACACUUCUUUGAUGAUAUUGUUGAUAUUUUAGACAGACCUGGUCAACAUUAAGUUCGUUAUAUCAAGUUGGUUCUGCAUCCAGAGCACCUGCACUUAUAUCUGAAACUACCAUUUGGGGAUCACUCUGGAAAGAUCUUCUGUACUAGAUUUUCCAUGCAGCCCGGAGCAUUUUGUACAGUUUUGUUGCCUUCUUUUCAAUGUGCAAUACGCAUCAGCUAAGCAUUUACAGUCACAUAGAAGUUCUUCUCUGACGCCUAUCCUGCCUUAAAUGGCAUGCAACACACCUCCUCUUGUGAAGGAGCUCGGAAGUAUACUAAUCAAGAUCAUCCUCCCAUCUACCGUGGACUGGACACUGAGAGUGUAAAGAGCGAUGGUGAUGAUUCUGGAGAUUGUGUUAGGGUGUCGUCAAGUUUCACAAGCUCAUCAUACACCCCACCAGCCACCACCUUGCUCUGGACCUGACAAGAGAAGAAGGAUAACAAGAUCUGAUGCUGGAAGCCUGGAAGUGAUAUAUCUAAAGAACCAUACUCAGAAUUUGUGACCUCACCAAGAUAUUCAUCUUCAUCAUGUUGCAGUGAUAAUGACAGUAGCAAGCCACUGGUGGAGCCUAGCACAUACAAGGAUGUGUUGAUCUUGUUCUGAUUCAACGAUCAUGAUCUGCCGUUCAGACUAAAGGAAGUUAUACUGUCUGAUCGUUCUUGAUCCCUUCCUUCGCGUUCACGACCGUCGGGAUGACUCCAUUGACGAGACGUUCGCAUUGACCACCGCCCCUGCACGAUGUUUAGUCUCUAGGCUGUAGUGUGUUAAACGGACGAGAAAUCUGAGCAUCUCCACUUGUCCAGGUUUCUCCACUGCAUAUUCUGCACGCCCCUGCACCUAAUGCCUUCCAUAGCUAUGCUAACCCACAGCAGCAAUCAGCAAGGUUAGCCCCCCUUUGUCAGUGUUUUUGUUUGUAUAUUGUCCUUCUGUUCUGAUGUGGAUGGGUGGAAGCAUGUAUUUCUGAUGCAUGUAUACGUUUUAAGAAGGGAUGUUGAUAGAAGACUCCUAUUAUGCAUGUAC
rnacentral:rRNA from 1 species